AGCGAACGUUUGCGGCGGGCCUAACACAUGCAAGUCGAACGCACUAGCAAUAGUGAGUGGCGCACGGGUGCGUAACACGUGGGUAAUCAACCCUUCAGCCUGGGAUAACGACUCGAAAGGGUCGCUAAUACCGGAUACGGCGCGAGAGGCUUCGGCUUCUCACGAGAAAGCCACGCAAGGGGCACUGAAGGACGAGCCUGCGGCCCAUCAGCUAGUUGGUGAGGUAAGAGCUCACCAAGGCUAAGACGGGUAGCUGGUCUGAGAGGAUGAUCAGCCACACUGGAACUGAGACACGGUCCAGACUCCUACGGGAGGCAGCAGUGGGGAAUAUUGCGCAAUGGGCGAAAGCCUGACGCAGCCACGCCGCGUGAGCGAUGAAGGCCUCGGUCGUAAGACUCUGUGGGAGGAGACGAAGAAAGACCUGUGAAGAGCAGG
rnacentral:rRNA from 1 species